AUCUUAUCUUAUCUUAUCAAUACCAAUACAUUAAAGGGAUCGACCAUUUCUAGCACAAGUGGUAAAGAGUUUAGUAGCUGGUAUCCGAGCUUCCAAGUUCGAAUCCUAGUUGAUUCAUAUUUACAGCUUUGCCUAUCAUACAUGAAAGGAGAAUCCAAAAAAAAAAUAUCAUUAAAGCGCGUAUUUUUUAUUUUUGCCUACAUCAUGUGUAAAUUUUAUCGUAUGAACCAACCAUCUUUUUUAAUAGUCGAUAUAACAAAAGUAAAAUUUCAUACGGUAUAAAAAAAAUUAUACACUGAGUGUAUAAGACAUGUUCAUAUACAACAAGUGUAAAAUUUUAGCGCACGAGCCAACUCUAUUUUUUAAUAAUCUCCUCAAGGAAAGAGGUGGGGCCCACUUUUUUUUUUUCUCUCUCUCUUACUCUCUCUCUCACACCCUACACCCUUUUUUUUUCUUUUUUUCUUUUUUUUUUCACAC
rnacentral:lncRNA from 1 species